UGUGGUGGCAGCAAUUCUGCUUUCGUUCUCCGAAGUUGUUGCCGUCGGUGCUAUUGCUGUUACUACUGCUGCUGCUGCUGCUGCUGCACCUUGCAUUGAUAUCUUGAAGCAGUCUUGCAAGAGGUACUCUAAGCAUCAACAGCUACAACAAGAAGAAAAAGAAGAAGAAAAAGGAGUAG